GGGGAGGUGGCCGAGUGGUUGAAGGCGACGGCCUGCUAAGCCGUUAUACGAGGAAAUCUCGUAUCGAGGGUUCGAAUCCCUCUCUCUCCGCCA
rnacentral:tRNA from 1 species